GAUGAACGCUGGCGGCGUGCCUAAUACAUGCAAGUCGAGCGAACAGACGAGGAGCUUGCUCCUCUGACGUUAGCGGCGGACGGGUGAGUAACACGUGGAUAACCUACCUAUAAGACUGGGAUAACUUCGGGAAACCGGAGCUAAUACCGGAUAACAUGUUGAACCGCAUGGUUCAACAGUGAAAGACGGUCUUGCUGUCACUUAUAGAUGGAUCCGCGCCGCAUUAGCUAGUUGGUAAGGUAACGGCUUACCAAGGCAACGAUGCGUAGCCGACCUGAGAGGGUGAUCGGCCACACUGGAACUGAGACACGGACCAAAAUCCUACGGGAGGCAGCAGUAGGGAAUCUUCCGCAAUGGGCGGAAGCCUGACGGAGCAACGGCGCGUGAGUGAAGAAGGUCUUCGGAUCGUAAAACUCUGUUAUUAGGGAAGAACAAAUGUGUAAGAAACUAUGCACGUCUUGACGGUACCUAAUCAGAAAGCCACGGCUAACUACGUG
rnacentral:rRNA from 1 species